AGCGCUGAUGCGGGCGUAUUUUUGGGGUGAAAAAGGCAAAUUUCCGUCCAUUGCGUUGGGCUGCGGAGCGGCCGGAGCUGCUGUGCUGCUCUUGGGUUCCAUCGGCCUCCUCUGCUACUGCCGACGACGUAGAGGUGGCGUUAAUUGGAAGGGAUUGGCUGAGAAGGAGGAGGCUGGGACUUUCCCGAUGAUGUGGAUGGAAGGUUGAGAAGCGAACGGCGUCGUUUUGGGGUGAAAAAAGGCGAUUUUGGGUCGCCGCCGGUAUUUGGGGCUUUUUUUUGUUAUUUUUUUUACCAAAUCUUGACUUUUUUGGGCGUUUUUUUUUCCGUUGGUUCUCAUUAAAGAUGGAUGUGAAA